CCUACGUGAGGCAGCAGUGAGGAAUAUUGGUCAAUGGGCGGAAGCCUGAACCAGCCAAGUAGCGUGCAGGAUGAAGGCCCUCCGGUUUGUAAACUGCUUUUAUACGGGAAUAACGCGCCUUACGUGUAGGGCUUUGCAUGUACCGUAUGAAUAAGGACCGGCUAAUUCCGUUCCAGCAGCCGCGGGAAUACGGAAGGUCCGGGCGUUAUCCGGAUUUAGUGGGUUGAAAGGGAGCGUAGGCCGCAAACCAAGGGUGCUGUGAAAUGUCCGGGCUCAACCCGGGCCUUGCAGCGAGAACUGGCGUGCUUGAGUCCGCGGAAGGCAGGCGGAAUUCGUUGUGUAGCGGUGAAAUGCGUAGAUAUGACGAAGAACCCCGAUUGCGAAGGCAGCUUGCUGCAGCGGAACUGACGCUGAUGCUCGAAAGCGCGGGUAGCGAACAGGAUUAGAUACCCCAGUAGUC
rnacentral:rRNA from 1 species